rnacentral:ncRNA from 2 species
UGCUUGCGCCUGAUUUCAGGUGUCGCCACGCGGUUCGUGGCGGUGAAACGGGAAGCCGGUUCAAGUCCGGCACUGCCCCCGCAACGGUACGUGAGUGUAGAUCGAUAUCCACUGUGCUCGGCUGUAGAGCAUGGGAAGGCCGAUCUUGCAGGCGUUGGAGCCCCUUGCUCCACCCCCUUCACAAGUCCGGAGACCGGCCUGAUUGACGAUUGAGCA